GGUGGGGACUGGAGCGUGCAUUACAGAAAGGGGCCCUGCGCGGCCCAUGCAGUGAGUGACUGUCUGGAGUCCCCACUUCACUUGGGGGCCAUGUGCCUGCCUUGGACUCCUCCCCACGCUGAAAACUGCCUGAAUAUAGACCCGGGGCCUGAGUCCCGGGCAUGUGCAGCAGGCUCGGCAGAUGGUGGCCCAGGAUAGUAUGGCCUGGUACUGCUGGCAGGCGGGAACAAAACACCCUCAGCAACGCACCUGCCAGCCCAGGGAUGGGGGACAAACUUCAGCGUGUCUGUGAAGCCAGGAGCAGGUGACACUGACCCCUGAAGAGACCGUCAGCCAAUACGGACCAGCCAGCUUGUGAGGACUGGCCCAGUCAAGGCCCCGCUGGGAAGGCCCAGCCUCCAGCACCCUCCUUUCUUGAUCUGAGUUGGGCUGGCCUCACUCCAGCCAAUACCAGGAAUGGCUUUUUGACUGUUGAGUUUGUCUAGAAGCGAUAAGGUUAUCUCGCCAGCCCUGCCCCACUCGGGGCUUUCCAUCACUCCUACCUUUCGAAGAACUUGGGCUUCAGCCCUCUGCUCAUCAGGAGCCAGAAGACUGUUUAAACAGGAAUAAUAAUGCUACCCACAAAGGUAAAUGCACACAGCUUCUCUGGCCCUGGAUCCAAACUUACCCUACCAGUUGCUUUCAUCACUUGACUUUAAUUAUAAGGGUGGAGCACUGCAGUAAAUGAGUGCAGUAAUCCACAGAGAAAACAACUAUGCAAAUCUUUCCCCUUUUACCAAGAACUCCUGGACUCAUUUCCAAAGCAUGCACUGGCGUCUGCCUGGACAUCAGCUGGCUGUUUGUUAGUUCAGAAUCCUGUUUGUUAUCUAGAAUAAAUUCCACCCGCUGGGUUGAAAACUGGAAAGUCCUUCUCCGUGGCUUUGGCAUUUUAAAGGCCACACGUGCUCCAGCGUGGGGCGCAAGGGCGUUUCUCCUGACCUGCACGGCCACAUAUUUCUGUGACGUGCUGCUAAUCCUUUUAUUAUGAAGUAUUAUUUGUACAGGACCCAAGUAUGGAGGCCGCUGCUGCCCCAAGAUCUUGCAGAGAACAAGACAAAAUGGCCUGGAGCCAGAGGAAAGAGCAGACUCUAGUUACACUUGGGUUGUCCUCCUUUCCCUUGGUUUGAGUAGCUUUAGCCCUGCAACACUGGCUCAUUUUCCGAGAGCAAAAGAGCUGCCAGGUGGGACUCGCGUAUAUUGCUGGUAGGUCUCGGCAGGUGGAAUAUUUCCCAGGUGGUUGGUGUAAUUCGUACUCUGGGCAUGUCAAGAGGCCCGGCCCGAGAUCAGGGCCCCGCUUUGCUAGGUGUGGGACAGACUUAAAUGCAGCCUCAGAGAGCUCAUGGUUUGGACAGGAAGCGUCAUCCCCAACGUGCAGCUGGGGACAGGGGAUCAGUGACUCUCCCGCCAUCACACCAGGGGUCUGUGAGAGCUGGGACUUUGAACCAGGAAGGCUUGUCCAGUGCCUCCACGAGGAGAGAGACACCAGCCUCCCUUUAAAUUCCUUUCACAGACCCUCUGCAAUGGACGCUUUGAUUUGUGGGAGCUGGUGGGACCCGGCUGGAGAUCAGCCCAUGUGGGCCCCUGCCAGUCCCUGCAGUAGGUGCUACCCCAAUGCAUGUGGGUUUCAGAUGGGCCCUGCUGGGCAGGAGGUAUGUGUGUGCACAGCCCUCUGUUGACAGACGCCCAAGAGCUCCAUUUGGGAAAGGAGAAUUCUCUCUCCAGCCACUAAACCAGGCUGUAAAGUAGGGGGCAUUAGACAAGAUCAAACAGCAGCAAAGCAAUUGAAAGGCAAACAGGACGGUUAAGUGAAGGAUGAAUGAGGCGGGGAGAAGAAAGGGUUAAAGAUUAGCUCUGCUCGUGCAGACCUGCCCCGGUUUAGAACAACCUGGAAGAGGAAAGCUGGGGCGGCCGCUCCGAGGGGUGCUGGCACUGGUUGGCACCCAGAUCAAGCCAGGUGCCGUGCAGUGCCCGGGCGCUUGGCCAGAGACAGAGCUCGGUUACAGUCUAGCUAGGCACAGGAGGCCUCAGCCCCAUCUGACACUCCAGGAAAGUGAGGCACAGCGAAGUUCAGUGACUUGCCCAAGAUCACAUGGGAAGUCUGUGGCAGAGCCAGGGAAUGAUGCCAGCCCAUGACCCACCUCAGGGACAGCCUCACAGCUGGCUUCCUUGUCAUGGUGUGGCCCCUUCAGGGCUCAAGAGUCCUUUACCCCCUGGGCCCCAGGGUGGAGAGUGGGACAGCCCCAGUAGGGCCAUGAGCCCCAUUUCCUGCAGCAAGCACUUGUGUUACAAGUACUGGCUGCCCAAGGGGCCACGGUCACCAUCUCUCAUGGGGCUAGAACCAGCCACCCCCUUGGGUUUAUUUUCUGCUAACAAGGAGGUUCUGGGGUGCCCCUGAGUGGCAGCAAGGCCGGGAACGCUGCCCCAGCAUCUGCCUGGGCCUCAGCAGGAUGGGGGCCUGGGGCAGCUGCUGUCCUAGGGGAAGAUGCUCUGUUCUAAUAUAGUGGGGAAAGGCUAAGAGUCCCCCGUCCUGGGCCAGCCCAGCAGCACCUGGCUUCAGGGAAAGCUCCUGCCCACAAAAGGAAUCCACCAUCUUCCACAACUGAGACACAGGCCAGGACUCCUCCGGCUGCUCGAACCAGGGGCAGAAAGGAAAACUGAAAGCAGCAGGCUGUGUGUGCGAGCAGGCGGGCGGCGCCAGGCAGCACUGACGGACAGGAGGUUACGCCAGCCGUGCUGGGGUUCGGUGGCUCAGGGGGACCCAUGGAGACCAGGGGGCUGCUGGGAGAAGCAGGGAGGAGUGGACAUUCUCUGCUGCAACAGCUACAGGGUUAGGAGUGGAGGUUCGAUUCUGAUUGGCACUCGCCUCCUUUGGAAAUGACCUUCCGUGACGAAACAGUUUGUGGCGUGAGCUCAUCAGGACGGCAUCUGAAGGGACUUUGGAGAGAGGACCUCAGAGUGCUCCAUCUAUCUAACAGCUUCACCCGAUCAUCCAUAUAAAUCAUGUGCAUUGGCUUGCUAAUGAGCACCUUUCUUGGCAGGGGAUGACUGAGGGGCUUCAGUUUUACACUGGUUCACAUUCUGAACUCAUCCCCUCACACACACUCAGGAUUUACAUGGGGUGAGUGAAAGCAGGAUCUGGCCUAUUGGAUACAAAGAAGUCAGGAAGCAGGUGUAAACAGCAAACCCAAUUAGCAGUCACAGGGGAAGGGUGGUUUGCCACCACCCUGUCCUUCCCAGCCGGGCAGAGUGAGCACAAAAGGCCAGCACAGGAGCGUGGCGGCCUGGGACGCCCACGUUGCACUGGUGCAGGGUGCAGGGCAGUGGCAAAUCGGGCCUUGGGUGUGUAAAGCCAACACUGUCUACACCACAUUCAGCCUGGUGGAAACACCCAGAGACCUGUGGGCAUGUCCUCUCACGCCAAGGCUGGAUUUGGCCUUGCUGGGGGAGGGGGCAGCACACACUUACUCCAGGCAGCUACUGGCUGGACUCAGCCCAUUUUGUCCACACACCUUGGGCCAGAGUCAUCCCAGGUCCAGUUCUAGGGAAGCCCUUUGCCUUGCUGCUGCUCUCAUGCACUCCCAUGGGAGUGACACCUCUGGAGCCCACGGAGUCACUCCAGCAUCACUCGGGAUUUACAGCAGCCUGAGUGAGAGCGGGACUGGGCUCCGCGGAGUCACAUGGAGAAUGAAUUUGGUCCUAAUUAUUUCCCUAAAGCAGCCUCAAGAGCCAGCGUAGUUUUUCAGCCAAACCAUCAGAGGCUCAUUCACCUGCACAUCUACCAAUGUGAUAUGUGCCAUCAUGUGCCAGCAAUGCCCCUCUGCCAUGUCCAUUGGCCAAACCGGACAGUCUCUACAUAAAAGAAUAAAUGGACACAAAUCAGACGUCAAGAAUUAUAACAUUAAAAAACCAGUCGGAGAACACGUCAAUCUCCCUGGUCACUCGAUUACAGACCUAAAAGUCGCACUAUUACAACAAAAAAACUUCAAAACCAGACUCGAAGGAGAGACUGCUGAAUUGGAAUUAAUUUGCAAACAGGACACCAUUAAAUUAGGCCUGAAUAAAGACUGGGAGUGGAUGUGCCAUUACACAAAGUAAAACUAUUUCCUCAUGUUUAUUCCACCCCCGCCACUGCUCCUCACACCUUCCUGUCAACUGCUGCAAAUGGACCAUUUUCAUUACCACUACAAAAAGUUUUUUUUCUCUCCUGCUGGCAAUAGCUCACCUUAACUGGUGACUCUCCUUAGAGUGUGUAUGGUAACACCCAUUGUUUCAUGUUCACUGUGUGUAUAUAUAUGUCUUCCUACUGUAUUUUCCACUGCAUGCAUCUGAUGAAGUGGGCUGUAGCCCAUGAAAGCUCAUGCUCAGAUAAAUGUGUUAGUCUCUAAGGUGCCACAAGGACUCCUGUUCCUUUUACAUAGUUUUUCAGGGAAUCUGCUCUCCCCCCGCUUUUCUCCAGUAGCCAGAGAGUGGAGUGGUGUUUUGUGUUGUGUGUGUCUUCCAACUACAACAAAUAUUUAAUUCAAUUUCUCUAACCCCCUUGGCUGUGGUGUUUAAACAGCAGGCGUGGUCCUGGCACUCCACGCCAAAACCAACACUACUUCAGCCCAGAUAACCCUGCAAGCAAACAUGCCACCGAGGCCAUGCCAAGCUGCAGCAGAAACCCUAUGGGGCAGCUGCCACGGGGCAGAGAGGGGCAGAAUCCACCGAGCCUGCCUGGGGAUGGGAUUGGGGUAGAGUGACCAGGUAGCAAGUGUGACAAAUUGGGACACUUAUUUUUUUUGGGGGGGGGAAUUGGCACUGGACGAGGUAGUUGAAAAGCUGGUGUGUUUUCAAGAGCUCCUACAAGCAAGUUUUGUAAAACAAAAAGUGAAAAUGAAACCUCAUUUUCAAUGUGGAGUAGUUUGGAUUUUUGGGCAGAACAGUCCAAUUAUCAUUGUUUUAUUAUUAUUGUUAAUAAUAAUUUAUCAUUAACUAGCGCUGGUUGACUUUUUUGGUCAAAAAGUUGUAGGGUUUUUUAAUUGAAAAUAGCUUUUCAAUCAAGCCAAACUUUGUUUAUUUUUGCAUUUUGUUUGAAUUUUUGUAUUUUUUUAAUGACAAUUUUCAAAAUGAAAAUUUGUGUUUCAUUUUAAAAAAUGUUAUUUGGGGUUUUAUUUUUCAAAGGUUUUUUUGUCCCCUCCUGCCCCUCUUUCUCUCCUUUUUUGCUUUUCCCCCCUGAAAAAGAGCAGUGAGAAAAAGUGAAAAAACCAUCUUCCAAAACCUGGGGUUUUAAAGUCCAAUCUGCAACUAAAGACAUUUCAUUUUAUUUCAUUUCAAAUUUUUGUAAUAACAUCAAUGAAACUGUUCAUGAAAUUUGCCGAGUGAGAUGACAACCAUUCAAUUCUUGUGAAACUGGAAUUCUAUUUUUGACCAAACUAAUGAUGCUGACCAGUCGGUGUAUUCCAUGCGUUUGUGGUCACGCCCAGGAGCGCCUGCCUCCCCGCAAUGCGUGGUGAGCCAGUGUGUGCUGCGAUGAGCUCAGGCUAAGGAUGGACAGACAGCCAAACAGGCCAGAGAAGAGGGCCUCUCUAGCCCAGCCAGCUGGAGCGGACAGCAUGGCGGAAGCAGGAUGUGCAGGUGAAGAGGAGCAGUGCUCUGCAGGUGAAGCAACUUCCAGAGCUUUCCAUUGCACUCUGGAAGCAAUGGGGCAGAGCAGGGAGCUGCAACCAAGCAAGGUUCUGCUAAUCCCCAGUCUGGCCACACACCCCGCGCAGUUUGCUCGCUCUGAGCACAGAUUUUUUUUUUUUGGUCAAGUUCAAAACCGCUGUGACUGAAAUGACAUCACUAGGCACAUUGCCAGCAGAGCGGGAAGUGUAUUGGGGGAUAUUUAUAAACCCUGCCACGGCUGUUCCUUCCCAGGUGUUUGCAGAAGCUGCACCUACCAUCACCAAGUUAAACACCUGGCACAGAUUAGAUCUGGGGAGUCCCAGAGCAUGCAAACAAGAGCUUGGCUGGAGCAAAUCUCCCAGGGCCACUCCUGAGCCAAGGGAGUUAGAGAGAGUGGAAGCAGGUUCCUUAUCUGGCUGUUAUCUCUGUCCUGUCCUGAAGUGCUCCUGAGCUUUCUCUGGGGGCUAAAGGAAGAGGCAGGUCUUCAGGAAGAGUAUUCACCCAGGCAUUCCAGGCAUUUUCCCGCUAACGGAUUCCAGGAGCACUAUGGCUGACGCUGGUGAGCUCACAAUACUCAGUAUUUGCAUAAUGCCCCAGAGACAAGUGAUUUAGGUGAGAAUCUCGGCUUCCAUUGUUUUCCAGAAGUAACUUUCCAGCCCUUAUAGCUGUGGAGAAAAGCUUCCAAACAUGACACACGUGUGAGCAGCAGACAGAAAGAAUAGACAGUGUUUCAAAAUCUCAUGAUUUUGAGGCUAAUCUCAGGAUUUCUGAACAUUUGGGGUUGGUGGUACUGCAUGGGACUGAUGCUACUCUCAGCAACGAAUGCAGCCCCCGCCCCAGGGAUGGAUUUAGUUGUUUUUUCACAGUCCUGGGCAAACCCAUAGACCAACUGUAAGAGACCUACCCGCUUCAGCUGAAGCUGCAGGGGAGGCGGUAGAUGAAUGGUCUAAACUGCAAUCUACCCAGGCUGCUGGGACUAACACUGCUUCUCUGGUAGGAACGAUUUCACGGGGAUUAGCUCACAUUGGCCCCUAGAGUCACAGUGCACAGACUGUUCUCACCGGUGCAUCGGCUCAGAACCUCAGCUCAGGGAAAUCAACGUGGCUUCAUUGGAGACAACUGAGCUACAUCAGUUUACACCAGCUAAGGAUCUGUCCCAAUAGAUAAUACCAUGUUUUUGACCCUGUAUGUUUUUAAUUAUUGUUAAAGUGUUUCUGUCACAAAUAAACAAGUGAUGGUCCUUAUCUGACCCCAUCACUGCAGCAUGUGAGCACCUCACAAUCUUCAGUAGAUUUAUCUUCACUCACUCCUGUGAGGCAGGGA